ensembl:lncRNA
CGCCGCCGCCGCUGCCGCCGCCGCCGCCGCCGCCGCCGCUUUACGUCAGGCGCCCGCCCCGGCCCGCCCGGCGCUCGGCAGCCGCUCGGAGCCCGCGGAGCGAGGAGGCGCCCCCGCCGCGGCCGCCGCGCCGCCCGGCCGCUCGCUCGGCAGUGUCACUUAGGGUGGCUGUUCUUUGUGUACCGUGUGGCCUCGUUCAGAUAAAAGAAUCCUUGAUACCGAAGGCUUGACUUCAGUGCCGCUGCGUCUAUGAAAGAAGCUUCCUCUGACUUUCAGAAUCAGCUCCUCACUGUCUGCUCACACGGUGCUUGAGGCUGCCCCACUCAGCUGUUUUUUCUUUCCGACUUUUUGGUCGUUCCAUGGAUUAUAAACUCCUUAAGGAAAGAGAGGAAGUUCUUGGCCGUGGCUGACUCUCCCUCUACUGUGUCACGCCGUCUCUCACACAGUUCUUGCUGGUUAAAAUGCUGGGUUGAGUGCACGCGAGCAGGCUCUGUUCCCUGAACUAGGCAGACGGGGCGUGGGGUUGGGAUGGCUGCACGUGCGAGCCUCAUGGAUCCACGUGACACUCGGAGCAGGGCCCAGCGCGUGGUCAGUGCUCAGGGAGUGGCAGCCUUCACCUGGUAAUUGCAGCAGGUAUAGUGGUUGGGUAGGUGUGUCGAUUGAGUGUAUACGUUGGUUACUGUAACAGCGUUCCCAGAUUUAGUUCUGGCUCCUGUGUAAAGGAAAAAUAAUAAUCAUCCGGUCUCCCCACCUUCACUCUUCCAUUGGUUUUGGGAAGAAGCGAAACAGUGAGUGUUGGGUUGGAGGGCGCUUUUACAGAAGCAGAUGCAUGGUGGUGGUCCGGAGUCGCUCUGAAGACCGAGUACAUCUUUCUGUCGUGCGUCUCAUCAGAACAAGAAGGCACCUUUCCCACAAGAGCUAUAACAUAGCCUCUGCGGACGCAGCCCUCGGCAGCAGGGAGGAGCCCACAUUCAGAGGACUGGACGCAGUUCACACAGAUAUUUAUCAGUCGCAUGGAGAUCCUUGGAGCAACAGCUUCUCAAAAAUUUGAAACCCUGUAUGCUUCUGCUGCUGCUAAGUCGCUUCAGUCAUGUCCGACUCUGUUCGACCCCAGAGACGGCAGCCCACCAGACUCCCCCGUGCCUGGGAUUCUCCCGGCAAGAACACUGGAGUGGGUUGCCAUUUCCUUCUCCAAUACAUGAAAGUGAAAAGUGAAAGUGAAGUCGCUCAGUCGUGUCUGACUCUUAGCGACCCCAUGGACUGCAGCCUACCAGGCUCCUCGGUCCAUGGGAUUUUCCAGGCCAGAGUACUGGAGUGGGUGCCAUUGCCUUCUCCAGAAACCCUGCAUAAUGUGGAUUAAACUCUCAUCUCAUUUA